rnacentral:rRNA from 1 species
GAUGAACGCUGGCGGCGUGCCUAAUACAUGCAAGUCGAGCGAACAGACGAGGAGCUUGCUCCUCUGACGUUAGCGGCGGACGGGUGAGUAACACGUGGAUAACCUACCUAUAAGACUGGGAUAACUUCGGGAAACCGGAGCUAAUACCGGAUAACAUGUUGAACCGCAUGGUUCAACAGUGAAAGACGGUCUUGCUGUCACUUAUAGAUGGAUCCGCGCCGCAUUAGCUAGUUGGUAAGGUAACGGCUUACCAAGGCAACGAUGCGUAGCCGACCUGAGAGGGUCAUCGGCCACACUGGAACAGAGACACGGUCCAGACUCCUACGGGAGGCAGCAGUAGGGAAUCUUCCGCAAUGGGCGAAAGCCUGACGGAGCAACGCCGCGUGAGUGAAGAAGGUCUUCGGAUCGUAAAACUCUGUUAUUAGGGAAGAACAAAUGUGUAAGUAACUAUGCACGUCUUGACGGUACCUAAUCAGAAAGCCACGGCUAACUACGUG